GCCGGGAGGAGGGGAGUGAUGCCUGAGGGCCUGGGGCUGGGGAGGGGCACAGCCGGGCCCCAGGGCAGGGUCUGGCAGGGACUGGGGAAGGGCCCUGAGUUGGGUCAAGGCUGGAGAGAAGCCAGGCCUGCCCACUGGUCUGGAAGGGAGGCCCUUGAGGGCUGCAGUGGCCUGGUGCCCAGGCCAUAUCACCGGGUACCUGGCCAGGGGAGACCCCCGAUUCAGUCUCUGACUCACAGAACUCAGCAGGGGGGGAAGUCAAGGAUCAGGCGAGAAGGCAAUGGUACCCCACUCCAGUACUCUUGCCUGGAAAAUCCCAUGGAUGGAGGAGCCUGAUAGGCUGCAGUCCAUGGGGUCGCUAAGAGUCGGGCACGACUGAGCAACUUCACUUUCACUUUCAUGCUUGAUCAGCCAGAGGAUCUUCAGCCCCGACCCUUGUCUCCACCUUCCGAACCCAGGAAAAGUCCACCGGGGAGAAUCUGACCGGAGACAAGCGCGGCCUGGGUGGAGGCCCAGCCCUGCCACCUCCCAGCAGGGUGAUUGUGAAGAAAUCUCUUAACCUGUCCAGGCUUCAGCUUCUCCAUCUGCACUUUGGGGAUGAUAAGACACAAUUCACGGCACUGUCCUGAGGCUUAAAGGAGGGUAAUUCAAGCUGUUCGCGCAGUGCCUGGCCCCAAGAUAAAAUACACCAAAAUUCCUCUGAGGGGCUGCUGACACCGACUGCCCUUUGAGCAUCCCCCUGUGAUGAUGGUACUAAAACAGGGACUAGGAGUUACUUGUCAACAGUGUGUAUGUUGGACUUGCAUUUGUGUUUAUUUACAUGUCAGUUACAGGCCUGAGAGAAAAGGUCUUGUCUUGCCUCUUUGGCACAGGUUCAGAAAUCUCACAUGGAUUGUGGAAAUAAAGUUUCUGUUGUGUUUGAAAAAAAAUACACCAAAAGUUGAGUAUUAUUAUUUUUUAUUAGGC
ensembl:lncRNA